GUGAGAUUAUGCAUGCAAAGUGCUGAGCAUGGGGCCUGGCUCAUAGAAAGUAUCAAAUAAGUGGUAGACAAGUUGUCAUUUUCACUUGUGGUUGAUAAUUUCCACUUUUGCCUUUCUGCAGCCCAGAGACAGAAGCAGAUAAUGCAAGUGUCAUCUACAUCUGGCAAAAGCCAAAGGUUUGGAAGAUGGAAAAAGGAAUCCAGGCAAAAAGGAGCCCAAGAUUGAAGUGAAUGACCAGGUCCAAGGUGAAUGUCCAGUGCUGUUGUCCUUGGCCUGCAGCAGGAGGAGCAGGGAUCUAAGACUUGGAGAGCAAAUGUCAAGCUCAGAAGAAAGACUGGAAGUUUGGGGACAAAACCCAAAUAUGGCUAAAGAAAGCCUGUAGGAUGAAGUUGGAAGUUCCAGAGCCUUCUCUUCACAUAAUGGGACAUGCAAGGGGGAAACCAAAUCAAAAGUGUAGAAUGCGUCGCUGGAUGUCUUUGACAUGUUAUUGUUCUGAUAGAAUAUCAGCGGGGAGCUACUGAGGACCUCCUCACUACCCUCCCUUGGAAGAGUUUGUCUGCAAUGGAGCCAACACAGUGGAAAGCAGAGCUGAGAAAUGGACAAACAACUCCUGAUGCCUCAUUUGAGCACCUGGAUUUAGCCAUGUCUGAAGCUAUUAUAUCCUUGAACUUUUGAAUCAUGCACUGUUUUAAGUCCCAAAGAAAGAGGCAGAGGAGCGACAGAGAUGACUUCCUCCCUUGAAAACGAAGCAUGUGGCCUGACAACCUAAAAUUGGGGUCAAUCCAUCCAAUUAUGGUGACUGCUUAGAAAUAUCCCUUUUCCUCCCAACGUUUUCCUUUCCUUCUCCCAUAAACAUAAUAAUGUCUCCUGCCAGUACUAAGGCAUGGCCCAUGGACCCACUAACACCUAUGCUCACGUUAGCUCUUGAGGCCGAGUGGCUUGGUUCUAUCUGGUUAUCAGAUGCAAACUUCAUCACAGCAGGGAUUUGGGCUAGACAUUAGAGGAAUAGUGUGGUACCAGAUGGUGUUUCUGAAGAAGGUUGUCCUAUUUUUGCAGUUUAAGGAUUUGAUAAUAAAUCUGCCUGGCAGCCCUCAGAUGUGAUUUGGCCUUGAAA
rnacentral:lncRNA from 1 species